GUGCCAGCCGCCGCGGUAAAACGUAGGAGGCGAGCGUUAUCCGGAUUUACUGGGUGUAAAGCGCGUGCAGGCGGUUUGGUAAGUUGGAUGUGAAAGCUCCUGGCUUAACUGGGAGAGGUCGUUCAAAACUACCAGACUUGAGGGCGGUAGAGGGAGGUGGAAUUCCGUGUGUAGUGGUGAAAUGCGUAGAUAUACGGAGGAACACCAGUGGCGAAAGCGGCCUCCUAGACCGAUCCUGACGCUCAGACGCGAAAGCUAGGGUAGCAAACGGGAUUAGAAACCCCCGUAGUCC
rnacentral:rRNA from 1 species